rnacentral:rRNA from 1 species
GCUAAACGCGAAGAACCUUACCUGGUCUUGACAUCCAUGGAACCCUGCAGAGAUGCGGGGGUGCCGUAAGGAACCAUGAGACAGGUGCUGCAUGGCUGUCGUCAGCUCGUGUCGUGAGAUGUUGGGUUAAGUCCCGCAACGAGCGCAACCCUUGUCCCUAGUUGCCAGCACUUCGGGUGGGAACUCUAGGGAGACCGCCGGUGACAAACCGGAGGAAGGUGGGGAUGAUGUCAAGUCAUCAUGGCCCUUAUGGGCAGGGCUACACACGUGCUACAAUGGCCGGUACAAAGGGCUGCCAACCCGCGAGGGGGAGCUAAUCCCAAAAAGCCGGUCGUAGUCCGGAUCGGAGUCUGCAACUCGACUCCGUGAAGUCGGAAUCGCUAGUAAUCGCAGAUCAGCAUUGCUGCGGUGAAUACGUUCCCGGGUCUUGUACACACCG